rnacentral:rRNA from 1 species
GAUGAACGCUGGCGGCGUGCUUAACACAUGCAAGUCGAACGAAGCACCUCUCCCGAAGAUUGACACAGCUUGCUGUAGAUUGAUUCAUUUGAGGUGACUGAGUGGCUGACGGGUGAGUAACGCGUGGGUAACCUGCCUCAUAGAGGGGGACAACAGUUGGAAACGACUGCUAAUACCGCAUAGUAAGAAGAAUUCGCAUGUUUUCUUCUUGAAAGAUUUAUCGCUAUGAGAUGGACCCGCGUCUGAUUAGCUAGUUGGUAAGGUAACGGCUUACCAAGGCGACGAUCAGUAGCCGGCUUGAGAGAGUGAACGGCCACAUUGGGACUGAGACACGGCCCAAACUCCUACGGGAGGCAGCAGUGGGGAAUAUUGCACAAUGGGGGAAACCCUGAUGCAGCGACGCCGCGUGAGUGAAGAAGUAUUUCGGUAUGUCAAGCUCUAUCAGCAGGGAAGAUAAUGACGGUACCUGACUAAGAAGCCCCGGCUAACUACGUG